UUCAAAUUGACACUUUAAUUAACAUAAUAUCAAAGCUAAGUCCAUUUUAGAGAAGAAUAAUAAUGAAUGAAGUAGAUAAUGUACUAUUUUUUUUAAAAAAAAAAGAUAUUUUCCAUUAGUUUUUUGAAGCAUAUUUGGCAAACAAAAUUUUAACUUUUAUGAAUAUUAACCUCAUGUCAGAUAUACUACAAUAAAAAUAGUGUAUAGCGAUAUUUUUAAAUAUUGGUAUAGGUUAAAAAAGUAUUGUUGUCUAAAUUAUGGACAUUUUUUAAAAGUAUUGCUAUAUAUGGAGUCGCUAUAUAUAGGGCCGUCUUAAUAUUUGGUACACAUUCCUCCAGCAACUCGUGGCAAAGGGACACGUGGCGAUCGUAGUCUUUUACGAUCCCUGCGAGAUUCUCGAGGCCAAACUCUAGCCGCCGAAACCCUAUCUCGUUGGCUGCGACGGAGAAGGAGGAGAAGAGGAGAUGGUAAUGAAUUUUUUUUUUUUAGUUCUAAUCGUGCCGAAUGGGCUGGGUGGGAUUGGUGUUUUUGAUUGUAUUGGAUUUUAUAUUUAGAUUUUUGAAGAUUUUUUUAAAAAAUUAACAUAAAUAGAACACUUACAUAAAAAUAUUCCAAAAAUAUAUGUCUAUAAUAUAAUUCUAUUGCAGUGAUAAAAGC
rnacentral:lncRNA from 1 species